UCCUCAGCUGUGAAGGAUCAGACUACCAGUCCCUAAGGCCAGGCUGUGACUGCUGGAACUACCCAGGCCUUACCCUCAAUUUUUUCUCCUUUGCAGUUAUAAAAUCCAGGUGACCCUCGUAUUGGGGGAGGGGGUGUCACAGGAAUCCUGCAGGAGACAAGGCAUGUCUUCAAGACCAUCACCAAAGAAGACAACCUGAAAGGAUAAAGAUAACUUCGCCCAUACCCAGUAGGAAGCAAUUUUAAGACUACGACGCCCACAUUCCCAAAGAGGUGGUGUGGGGAAAAACUUUCACCUUAUGGGCCUGGUGAAGACUGAUGCUGUUCUGAUACUUCUGCUUCCAAUGCUAUGGAGACCUGGGUAUAGCUAAAUGGGAAUGGACUGGUCUCUGUGGCUACCUGGGAAUGAACUGGUCCCUGUCAUUUUCUAAUAGAUUAGGAAGCCGCUUGGUCUGCACUCAGGUAUAAUUUAUCCUUCUUAGUUCUUGGAUAGUAUUGACAGCUAGCUUAGCUAUGACU